UGGGGAAUAUUGCACAAUGGGCGCAAGCCUGAUGCAGCCAUGCCGCGUGUAUGAAGAAGGCCUUCGGGUUGUAAAGUACUUUCAGCGGGGAGGAAGGGAGUAAAGUUAAUACCUUUGCUCUUUGACGUUACCCGCAGAAGAAGCACCGGCUAACUCCGUGCCAGCAGCCGCGGUAAUACGGAGGGUGCAAUCGUUAAUCGGAAUUACUGGGCGUAAAGCGCACGCAGGCGGUUUGUUAAGUCAGAUGUGAAAUCCCCGGGCUCAACCUGGGAACUGCAUCUGAUACUGGCAAGCUUGAGUCUCGUAGAGGGGGGUAGAAUUCCAGGUGUAGCGGUGAAAUGCGUAGAGAUCUGGAGGAAUACCGGUGGCGAAGGCGGCCGCCUGGACGAAGACUGACGAUCAGGUGCGAAAGCGUAGGGAGCAAACAGG
rnacentral:rRNA from 1 species